ensembl:rRNA 5S_rRNA 5S ribosomal RNA
GUCUACGGCUAUGCCACCCUGAACAAGCCUAAUCCUGUCUGAUCUCAGAAGUCUGAUCUUGGAAGCUAAGCAAGGUUGGGCCUGGUUAGUACUUGGAUGGGAGACCACCUACCUAGGAAGACCAGGUGCUGUAGGUG